GAGGAGAAAGAGAACUAGAGACAGAGAGAGGCAGACGGGGGGGGGGGGGCGGGGGGGAAAGACUUUCUUUUUCUUUCUAGAGGAAUUCUGCCCAGACUCUGCAGCAGUUGGUAGCAGGCAAGCUUUCUCCUGGGUGUCUCCUUGAAAAGUUGCAAAAUUGCUCUUCACCUGUAAGAACAUGCUCUUUAUCUUCCAGUCUCUUCUUGUCAAUUUGGAAAUUGCAGACAGCCCGGCUCAGACUUCCCUGUGUGUAUAUUAGAAGUCUUCCCGGUGCCAGGAAUCAACAAAGAGUUGAGUAACGAAGAACUAAUUUAAUCAGCUAAUUUGGAGAAACUAAGUCUUACAACUAUUAUUUAGUUCAUCAAAACAUAUAAAUCUCAAUGAGAACAA
rnacentral:lncRNA from 1 species